AAUGGAAAAGAAAUCAGUCUG
rnacentral:misc_RNA from 1 species